CCCUUAGAUGUUCUGGGCCGCACGCGCGCUACACUGAUGCACUCAACGAGUAACUCCUUGGCCGAGAGGCCUGGGUAAUCUUUUGAACGUGCAUCGUGAUAGGGAUAGAUUAUUGCAAUUAUUAAUCUUGAACGAGGAAUUCCUAGUAAACGCAGAUCAUCAGUCUGCAUUGAUUACGUCCCUGCCCUUUGUACACACCGCCCGUCGCACCUACCGAUUGAAUGGUCCGGUGAAGCCUCGGGAUUGUAACUGUUGCCUUUGCUGGUGUCGGUUUCAAGAACCUGUCUAAACCUUAUCAUUUAGAGGAAGGUGAAGUCGUAACA
rnacentral:rRNA from 1 species